UGAACCUGUUCCGGUUCCAAAAACCGAUAAUUUAUCUCGAACAUCCCUUCAUGUUCUUCCCAUCGUCAGACACGUCACCGUGAAUAAUGUUAGCUUAUCGGAAAACACAAUCUCCUUGAAAAUUGCGUCCUGCUUGUCGUGGCUGAUGGUCGACUUGCGCGAAACCAGCGCAUCCUGCACCUUCUCCUUCAGCUCGCUGCUCUUAAAAUCAUUCCGCAGAUAGAACAACCGCACCAGAUGGUCCUCCGUAAUCGACGGGUACGACGACAGCACCGAGUGCAGAUCGAGCACCAGCAUCUCCGCGUCACAGUUCAACAGCCCGGCCAGAUUGGAAAUAACAUCAAUCGAAUUUGAAGCUUGUUAACUACGCGGACUUCCCGAUAGAGCUAACAGGCGGUAACAACGUCCCUCUUAAGCACUUUGGAUUUCAUGCGA